AUUGAACGCUGGCGGCAGGCCUAACACAUGCAAGUCGAGCGAGCGGCGGACGGGUGAGUAAUGUCUGGGAAACUUCCUGAUGGAGGGGGAUAACUACUGUAAACGGUAUCUAAUACCGCAUACCAUCAGAUGUGCCCAGAUGGGAUUAGCUAGGAGGUGGGGUAAUGGCCGACCUAGGCGACGAUCCCUACCUGGUCUGAGAGGAUGACCAGCAAGACUGGAACUGAGACAAGGUUCAGACUCCUACGGGAGGCAGCAGUGGGGAAUAGUGCACAAGGGGCGCAAGCCGGAUGCAGCCAUGCCGAGUGUGUGAAGAAGGCAUUCGGGUUGUAAAGCACUUUCAGCGGGGAGGCGUUACCCGCAGAAGAAGCACCGGCUAACUCCGUGCCAGCAGCCGCGGUAAUAC
rnacentral:rRNA from 1 species